UACGUAGGGGUCGAGCGUUGUCCGGAGUUACUGGGCGUAAAGCGUGCGCAGGCGGCGCACCGCGCCCGGCGUGAAAGCCCCCGGCUCAACCGGGGAGGGUCGUCGGGGACGGGUGCGCUUGAGGGUAUCAGGGGCUGGUGGAAUUCCCGGUGUAGUGGUGAAAUGCAUAGAUAUGUCACAGAACACCAAUUGCGAAGGCAGCUUACUAAGGUGCAAUUGACGCUGAGGCACGAAAGCGUGGGGAUCAAACAGG
rnacentral:rRNA from 1 species